AUGUCAGUGUGAAUAAAUAUCAUAUGAACUUUAUAUACUUUGAAUUGGAUUCUCUUAUUGAAGUCUUAUCACUAGCUAACACUCAUCCACAUAUCUACCACGCUACAUAUUUAAGAGUGUUACACAUGCAAGGAAUAAUUCAGAUGCUACAAAUCAUUAAAAAAUUGGCUUUUCUACUCUAUAAUAAACAGGAGCACCAAUAAAAUUAGUCCAAAGAUCAAAAAGGUGAAAGAUCAUGCUGCUUUGAUGGACUGCAACACAGUAACGUGCAUGUCCACUUGCACAAAGGACAUUGCAAAAGAACUACAUCAGCCUCAAGAAGAACAAUAUGUCAACAGUGAAUAUCUGAAAGCAUAUUCUAUGCAGAUUUCUUGUAUUGGUUAUGCUAAAUGUAGCACAUAUACUGAGAAAGGGAACAAUCAUGAAUAUGAUUUUUACAUAUGGCAUUCUAGCCACUCUAAUUACCAAAGUAACAGCAUUCAUAUACAAUCAGUGUCCUGAUAACCAGACUGAUAAAUCGCUUAAACAAGAUGUGUAUUUCAUUUGAAAACAAUGAUUGUAAGUACACGUAUUUUACAUAACUGGAUGGUAAGCUAAAUGAUAGAGUGUUCCAAUGUCAAAUGUAAAGAGGGCAGGUGAUGUCACACAGACUGUGUCAUGUUAACCAAGGAAAAAAAGGAGUUCUGCAACAGAGGUUGUGCAGAAUCUGGAAGUAAUAAACAAUCCAGCCCCUGCAGAAGACCAAUAGAGUCAGCAUCCACGGCCUCUUACACGGUUUGCAGUUGUUGCGUCGUCGAUUAAACUACGAGGAGGAGGAGGACCAUCUAGAAACAGACUAGAAGGCACAGGAAGACAGUUCGGUGAGAAUUUGAAAAUUACCAGGUGCACCAGUAAUCAUGGCCGUUAAAUCAUUAGCUGGCAUCAUAAACAAACUUGUACAUGAGUCCUGCAUCAGCUAUAGUCAAAAUUAUCCAAGUCAAAAGGAUCAUGAAGAUUGUAUGUGGCUAGAAUGGUCAGAAAAGGUAGAUAAAUACUUUGAUGAAGCAAUGUUUAAAUUAGAUGAGUCGCAUUUUUCAGUUUGCUCACCAAGUUUACAAUAUUCAAGUUUUAUUUGAAGAAGAGCAGGAUCUAUGUGUGGGGGAAGUGUUCUAACGUCAUAGGCCUGCAGGGGAGGUGAUGUCACCACUGACUGUGUCAUGUUAACCAAGGAAGGAGAGGAGUUCUGCAACAGAGGUUGAGGAGAAUCUGGAAGUAGUAAACAAUCCAGCCCCUUCAGAAGACCAAUAGAGUCAGCACCCACGGCCCUCUUACAUGGUUUGCAGUUGUUGCGUCGUCGAUUAAACUACGAGGAAGAGGACCAUCUAGAAACGGACGAGGAGAAGGCGCAGGAAGACAGUUCGGUGAGAAUUUGAAAAUUACCAGGAGCACCAGUAAUCAUGGCCGUUAAAUCAUAAGCUGGCAUCAUAAACGAACUUGUACACGAGUCCUGCAUCAGCUGUAGUCAAAAUUAUCCAAGUCAAAAGGAUCACGAAGAUUGUAUGUGGCUAGAAUGGUCAGAAAAGGUAGAUAAGUACUUUAAUGAAGCAAUGUCUAAAUUAGAGAAGUCACAUUUUUUCAGUUUGCUCACCAAGUUUACAAUAUUCAAGUUUUAUUUGAAGAGCAGGAUCUAUGUGUGGGGGAAGUGUUCUAAUGUCACAGGCCUGCAGGGGAGGUGAUGUCACCACCGACUGUGUCAUGUUAACCAAGGAAGAAGUUCUGCAACAGAGUUGUGCAGAAUCUGGAAGCUACUGCAUGCUUAACAAAACCGGAUGGAACCUCGAUGAUAGAAUGUGCAAACCAGUAGGGGGGGGGGUAGAGUGAAUGGUAAGACAAUAGAUCGGAUGAAGGGAGGCAAGUUUCUCUGGGAUUGCCAGAGAGUGAUCACGGUUCAUAACUAGCUUGUAGGGGGAGGGGCCAGUAGGGGGGUAGAGUGAAUGGUAAGACAAUAGAUCGGAUGAAGGGAGGCAAGUUUCUCUGGGAUUGCCAAAGGAGUGAUCGCGGAUAAUAAUUAGCUUUUAGGGGGAGGGGAGGGGCCAGUAGGGGGGGUAGAGUGAAUGGUAAGACAAUAGAUCGGAUGAAGGGAGGCAAGUUUCUCUGGGAUUGCCAGAGGAGUGAUCACGGAUCAUAACUAGCUUGUAGGGGGAGGGCCAGUAGGGGGGGGGUAGAGUGAAUGGUAAGACAAUAGAUCGGAUGAAGGGGGGCAAGUUUCUCUGGGAUUGCCAGAGGAGUGAUCGCUGAUAAUAAUUAGCUUGUAGGGGGAGGGGAGGGGCCAGUAGGGGGGGUAGAGUGAAUGGUAAGACAAUAGAUCGGAUGAAGGGAAGCAAGUUUCUCUGGGAUUGCCAGAGGAGUGAUCACGGAUCAUAACUAGCUUGUAGGGGGAGGGGCCAGUAGGGGGGGUAGAGUGAAUGGUAAGACAAUAGAUCGGAUGAAGGGAGGCAAGUUUCUCUGGGAUUGCCAGAGGAGUGAUCACGGAUCAUAAUUAGCUUGUAGGGGGAGGGGAGGGGCCAGUAGGGGGGAUAGAGUGAAUGGUAAGACAAUAGAUCGGAUGAAGGGAGGCAAGUUUUUCUGGGAUUGCCAGAGGAGUGAUCACAGAUCAUAAUUAGCUUGUAGGGGGAGGGACCACUAGGGGGGUAGAGUGAAUGGUAAGACAAUAGAUCGGAUGAAGGGAGGCAAGUUUCUCUGGGAUUGCCAGAGGAGUGAUCACGGAUCAUAACUAGCUUGUAGGGGGAGGGGCCAGUAGGGGGGGUAGAGUGAAUGGUAAGACAAUAGAUCGGAUGAAGGGAGGCAAGUUUCUCUGGGAUUGCCAGAGGAGUGAUGACUAGGUCAGCUUGAGAUUUAAGAAAUAUAUUUUUCAUUUCAUACAUUUUAUAUUCAAUGUGAUGUCUUAUUUUAAGUAUGUGUUAUAUUGUUUUGUUGCAUUUACAAGUAUUUGUGAAGUUUGGUCAAGUAGAUAUGACCAUGGAUCAACUCGUGGAUUACAUAAUAUCCAACAGCUCCACAAGUUAUAAUAUUAAAACAGUCUGCUUUUUACUUCCAAGGGAACAUGUAUGUUCCUGUCUCAUCACAUUUUGGCUUUAGAGAUGGAGACAGGAUAGACCUCCAAGACUCAUCUCACAUAAUUCCUGUAUUUUCAUAUUCUGUAUAUGAAAAUACGAAUAUGAAUGGUAAGACAAUAGAUCGGAUGAAGGGAGGCAAGUUUCUCUGGGAUUGCCAGAGGAGUGAUCACGGUUCAUAACAAGCUUGUAGGGGGAGGGGCCAGUAGGGGGGUAGAGUGAAUGGUAAGACAAUAGAUCGGAUGAAGGGAGGCAAGUUUCUCUGGGAUUGCCAGAGGAGUGAUCACGGAUCAUAAUUAGCUUGUAGGGGGAGGGGAGGGGCCAGUAGGGGGGAUAGAGUGAAUGGUAAGACAAUAGAUCGGAUGAAGGGAGGCAAGUUUCUCUGGGAUUGCCAGAGGAGUGAUCACAGAUCAUAAUUAGCUUGUAGGGGGAGGGACCACUAGGGGGGGUAGAGUGAAUGGUAAGACAAUAGAUCGGAUGAAGGGAGGCAAGUUUCUCUGGGAUUGCCAGAGGAGUGAUCACGGAUCAUAACUAGCUUAUAGGGGGAGGGGCCAGUAGGGGGGGGGGGGUAGAGUGAAUGGUAAGACAAUAGAUCGGAUGAAGGGAGGCAAGUUUCUCUGGGAUUGCCAGAGGAGUGAUGACUAGGUCAGCUUGAGAUUUAAGAAAUAUAUUUUUCAUUUCAUACAUUUUAUAUUCAAUGUGAUGUCUUAUUUUAAGUAUGUGUUAUAUUGUUUUGUUGCAUUUACAAGUAUUUGUGAAGUUUGGUCAAGUAGAUAUGACCAUGGAUCAACUCGUGGAUUACAUAAUAUCCAACAGCUCCACAAGUUAUAAUAUUAAAACAGUCUGCUUUUUACUUCCAAGGGAACAUGUAUGUUCCUGUCUCAUCACAUUUUGGCUUUAGAGAUGGAGACAGGAUAGACCUCCAAGACUCAUCUCACAUAAUUCCUGUAUUUUCAUAUUCUGUAUAUGAAAAUACGAAUAUGAAUGGUAAGACAAUAGAUCGGAUGAAGGGAGGCAAGUUUCUCUGGGAUUGCCAGAGGAGUGAUGACGGAUCAUAACUAGCUUGUAGGGGGAG